GUGCUCGCUUCGGCAGCACAUAUGCUAAAAUUGGAACGAUACAGAGAAGAUUAGCACGGCCCCUGCACAAGGAUGACAUGCAAAUUCGUGAAGCGUUCCAUAUUUUU
rnacentral:snRNA from 1 species